rnacentral:tRNA from 1 species
GGAGAGAUGCCGGAGUGGACGAACGGGUCUGACUCGAAAUCAGAAGUGCCCGCAAGGGUACCGGGGGUUCGAAUCCCUCUCUCUCCGCCA